CUACUAUACUCUUAUGAGUAUAGAAGCCUUCGUACUCAUAAGUUGUUUUCGAUGAUGGAGCUUCCGAAUCGAUGAUCCACUCCGUUAAAUAUGAUCUAGAGUAUUUGAAACUUCUCGAAAAUAAAUUUUGUAAAUUUUUGAAAUCAUAAUAAAGUCCAUCAAGAAGACAUAAAAUAAACAGUCAAAAUCGAACGACGUCCUAAAAAUGGAUGAUCGGAUCCUUCAAUUUAAGAUCGGAGUUAUUGAUCUUUAUCUAGGUAGUGAAUAGAAUUUUCUAUCAAAAAUUCAACCUACUCGAAUUUUUUUGCACCAUUAAACUAGUAAGUAUUCCAUACCGGCUGUUAAAAAUUGUCAAUUUUGUGAGAUUUUGAUCGUAAGGUAAUGAUAUCGAAAAAUUAUAAAAUUUGAUUUUUAGAUGUUUUAAAUGCUCUAGAUAACGUUUAACGGUGUGGAUCGUCGAUUUGGAAGCUCUAUCAUCAAAAACAACUUAUGAGUACGAGAGUGAUCGUACUCAUAAUAGUAUAGUAGUUAGUUAAGACCGCUCGAUAUUUAUAUUCAUCACCACAUUCUUUUUCUCUUUUACAGCCGGAAAAUGGAAAGAUCAAUCUUUUUAAGUUCAACGGUGUAGAAGUAUCCAAAUUACAUGAAAGUUUAAUAGAAAAUUCUACUUAACAUCAAUAGCAAGAUCAAUACUUCUGAUUUGAAAUUUGAGUCCUUUAUCAUUAUUUUUUAUAAGAUUUUUAUUUUCAGCCGUUCAUUUUGAGACUACUCGUUCACUAGGCAAACGAAGUCAAAAAAUUAUGAAAUUUGGUUUCUAGAUAGUUCCAAUAGCGUAGAUCAUAUCUAAUGGAACUGAUCGCCGAAUCAAACGUCUCAUCAUCAAAAACAACUUACAAGUACGGAGGCCCCGGUACUUUCGAAAGCAUAGGAGCCUACAUAUAUAUAUAUAUAUAGUUGAGCUAGAAUACUCUCAAAAGCACUAUGGGGGUGGUGCUUUUGAGUUUUUAGCCAUUGGAUGGAGAGAUGUGAGGUUGAGAUGAUUGUGGUAGGUGGUGGUAGGUGGAAUAGUGUUUGAUCCAAGGGCCAUUAGUAAUCAAGAAGUAGAUCCAAUGGCUAAAACCUAAUAGCACCAUGGGGGUGAUACUUGUAAAAGUAUU
rnacentral:lncRNA from 1 species